rnacentral:tRNA from 1 species
ACCUGGCUGGCUCAGUCGGUACAGCAUGCGACUCUUGAUCUCAGGGUUGUGAGUUUGAGCCCCACAUCAGGUG